AGCAGCCGCGGUAAUUCCAGCUCCAAUAGCGUAUAUUAAAGUUGUUGCAGUUAAAAAGCUCGUAGUUGAAUUUCGGAAUCUGUCCGUUGGUCGGGCUUCACUGUCCGUACUGGUGUGAUGAGUUCUUACCUUCUGAAUAACCAGCAUGCCAUUCAUUUGGUGCGCUGGGGAAGCAGGACUAUUACCUUGAAAAAAUUAGAGUGCUCAAAGCAGGCUAGUGCCUGAAUACAUUAGCAUGGAAUAAUAAAAUAGGACGGCAUGGUUCUAUUUUGUUGGUUUCUAGGAUCACCGUAAUGAUUAAUAGGGAUAGUUGGGGGCAUUAGUAUUCAAUUGUCAGAGGUGAAAUUCUUGGAUUUAUUGAAGACUAACUUCUGCGAAAGCAUUUGCCAAGGAUGUUUUCAUUAAUCAAGAACGAAAGUUAGGGGAUCGAAGACGAUCAGAUACCGUCGUAGUCUUAACCAUAAACUAUGCCGACUAGGGAUCNAGGGAUGUUAAUUUUUUAAUGACUCG
rnacentral:rRNA from 1 species